UAGGGAAUCUUCCACAAUGGACGCAAGUCUGAUGGAGCAACGCCGCGUGAGUGAAGAAGGUUUUCGGACCGUAAAGCUCUGUUGUUGGCGAAGAAGGAUAGAGGUAGUAACUGGCCCUUUAUUUGACGGUAAUCAACCAGAAAGUCACGGCUAACUACGUGCCAGCAGCCGCGGUAAUCGUAGGUGGCAAGCGUUGUCCGGAUUUAUUGGGCGUAAAGCGAGCGCAGGCGGAAGAAUAAGUCUGAUGUGAAAGCCCUCGGCUUAACCGAGGAAUUGCAUCGGAAACUGUUUUC
rnacentral:rRNA from 1 species